AUUCACCUGACGAAUCUCGAAUAGGACGAAAUGCGCAUCCUGGAU
rnacentral:hammerhead_ribozyme from 1 species